rnacentral:rRNA from 1 species
UGCGGUUAUACCACACCCAAUAUUUCUCGUUUUAAAUCUAAAUAAAUUUAAUUUUCAACCUGUCCAAAGUUGUAAUAACCCCGGUUAGAAAAUUAAAGCACACAAUUUACCCCGCUAAAAUAAAAUAAAAUUAGACCUUUAGUAUAAGCGGCCUAAAUUAUUUUAAGGACUAAAUAAAAUUUUAUUAAAUUUAACCAAUAUGGCGGCAUUUUAUCCCGGGUAGGGGAGUUUGGCUUUUAAAUUGACACCCCCCACUAUAUCUCACCCUAGUUUUUCUUGUGUGUGGUUGUUUAAUGCAGUCUACUAAGACGUUUUUUAAUUCAAAUAACACACCGACAUAAUAGGGGACAUCUAAACUACUUUAACUAAAUUAAUCACCAUCCAAUUCUUCAAUCGGACUUACUAGUAAAAUAUUCUACACUAUAUUUGAAGGGGUAUUAAAAUGUGCACAAAUCGUCCGUCGUUCUCAGUCAU